GUAUAUGUGGUGUAGUGGUUCGAGCAUUGGACUAUGAUUGGCUGCCAGGGUUCAAUUCCCUGCUUGAGCA